CACGUGUCAUGAUGGGUCAUGACAUGGCAGGGCGUGGCCAUGAUACGUGUUUGGACGGACAUGACCACGGUACGAGUCGGGACGUCGCAGGACAUGCAAGGGAGUGGCCAUUGCACGAGUCAGGACGUCACAGGACGCAUCGGGACAUGGCCAUAGUACGUGUCAGGACGCACCGGGACGCAUCAGGACGUGGUCAUGGCACGAGUUGGGACGUCCAGGACAUGGCAGGGCGUGGCCAUGGCGCGAGUCGGGACGUCGCAGGACAUGGCAGGGCUUGGCCAUGGCACGAGUCAGGACGUCGCAGGACAUGGCAGGGCGUGGCCAUGGCACGAGUCAGGGCGUCGUCCUGACGCGUCAGGACAUGGCCAUGACACGAGUGAGUACGUCAUAGGUUGCGUCAGGACAUGGCCAUAGCACGAGUCAGGACGUUGCAGGACACGUCAGGACAUGGCCAUAGUACGUGUCACGACGCAUCAGGAUAUGGCCAUGGCACGAGUCGGGACGACGCCCUGACUCGUGCCACGUGGCCAUAGCACGAGUCAAGAUGUCGCAGGACAUGGCAGGNNNNNNNNNNNNNNNNNNNNNNNNNNNNNNNNNNNNNNNNNNNNNNNNNNNNNNNNNNNNNNNNNNNNNNNNNNNNNNNNNNNNNNNNNNNNNNNNNNNNNNNNNNNNNNNNNNNNNNNNNNNNNNNNNNNNNNNNNNNNNNNNNNNNNNNNNNNNNNNNNNNNNNNNNNNNNNNNNNNNNAGAGUCGGGACGUCGCAGGACGCGUCAGGACAUGGCCAUGGCACGUGUCAGGGCGCGUCAGGACAUGGCCAUGGUACGUGUCAGGACGCGUUAGGAAAUGGGAGGGCGUGACUAUGGCACGAGUCGGGACGUCACAGGACAUGGCAGGCGUGGCCAUGGCACGAGUCAGGACGUCGCAGGAAGCGUCAUGACAUUGCCAUGGCACGUGUCAGGACGCGUCAGGACAUGGAAGGGCGUGGCCAUGGCACGAGCAGGACAUCGCAGGAUAUGGCAGGAUAUGGCCCUGGUACGUGUCAGGACGUGUCAAUACAUGGCCAUGGCACGACAUCGCACCUAGCCACACCACGUCACUCCAAGCCGCACCACGUCUAUGGCUUACCAAUUCUUUGGAACAUGUCAAGCGCAAUGAUGUUGGUGGUCGUUGGCGGCGGUGGUGGAAAGUCAGGGUGGUUCGAGCAGUAGCGUCCAGCGACGGCCGAUCGACGCUUGGUGGUUGGCUUCGGUUUCUUCAAAUCCUAAUCACUUGUUGUGGUUGGGCAACACGUCAAGCGCAAUGAUGUUGGUUGUCUUUGGUGGCGGUGGUGGAAAGUCACGGCGGUUCGAGCGGUAUCCACCUGCGACGGUUGGUCGAUGCUUUGUUGUUGGGGGCGGAUUUUUCAAAUCGGAAUCACUUAUUUUGGUUGCGACAAUGGAGGUGCCUCGUGCUUAUUGGCGUUUGGUCAUCUAUACGCUUUUAUAAUAAUGUUAUGUAUUUUUCCUAUUUUUUAAUAUAUUUUUUAGGAAUUUUUAUGCAUUUGUAUGCAUUUUUUUGUUACUUUAAAUUAUUUUUGUGUCACUUUUUAAUAAAAAUAUUAACUCUCUUAUAUGUUAUACUAUUCCAAGAUGUAUUGGAAUUUUUCUCCAUCAUUGUUUCUAUUUUUAUAAUAAUUUUCAUAUUUUUUAGUAUUUUAUUAAGUAUUUUUCAUUUUAAAACAAAAAUAGUUACAAAAAAAUUUUCUUAUAAAAAAUAUCAUUUACAAUGUUUAAAAGUCAUUUGUCAAUAUAUUAACCAAGUUGCACUCAAUAUUUCAAAAAAAUAUUAAUUUUAUGUAGAAAAAUACCAUUUACAAUGUUUAGAAGUAAUUUGUUAAUAUCUUAGCCAAGUUGUACUUUGGUUUGUGCUAUUUGGUGUUGUACAUGUCUAUUAUGAUUAUCUGGCCAAAACAUGUCUACUCUGAAACUUGAUUCUUAUUUUAAGUAUAUAUAAGGGGGGUAGAGGAGUUGAGAGACACCUCAGGUGCUUGCUGCCAGGAAGGGGCGGGCAUGCAUGGGGGACGGUGGCAUGGGGCGUGGGCUUUGGGGGCAUUCACAGCUUGUCCGUGCUACGUCCUCGAUGUUCCUAAACCGUGCCGGCAAGUACUCGUGUUGGCUUGUAGUACGCCUGGUGGUGGAACCGCUCGUGAAAAACAUUGGUUUUUGGCAACGAACAGUAGAGUGUCAUGCAAGUAGCGCCGCAAGGUGUCGUGCGCAUGGGGCGAAGCUCAGUACUUGUUGAUCGCCAUUCGAUGUUGCGGGCAAAAUCGGGAGGCGACAUCGCGAGUGGCGGCUGAUGGCUUUUGACAACAGAACGGCAAAGUGUCGUGCAAGUAGCGCCGCAAUGUGCCGUGCGCAUGGGACAAAGCUUAGUAAGUUGUUGUUGAUUGCCAUCGGUUGUUGUGGGUUGUGUCUAGAAUCUCUCGUGGUGGCUGAUAUCUUUCGACAACGAACGGCGGAGCGUCGUGCAGGUAGCGCCGCAAGGUGUCGUACGCAUGGGGCGAAGCUCAGUAGAUGUCGAUUGCCAUCGGUUGUUGCGGGCAACAUCGCUCAUGGCGGUUGAUGGCUUUCAGCAAUGGAACGGCGGAGCGUCGUGCAAGUAGCGCCACAAGGUGCGUGCACAUGGGGCAAAGCUUAGUAAGUUGCCUAUUGCCAUCGAUUGUUGUCGUUUGUGUCUGUAAACCCCCCUCCGUGGUGACUUAUAGCAUUUGACAAUGAACGGUGGAGCAUCGUGCAAGUAGCGCCGCAAGGUGCCGUGCGCACGGGGCGAAGCUCAAUAGAUGUUCAUUGCCAUCGGUUGAUGCGGGAAACAUCGGGAGGCGACAUCGCUCGUGGCAGCUGAAGGCUUUUGGCGUAAAAUGGAAAAGCAUCGUGCAAGUAGCACCGCAAGGUGCCGUGCGCACGGGGUGAAGCUUAGUAAGUUGCUGAUAGCCAUCGGUUGUUGCGGGCAACAUCGGGAGGCAACACCGCUCGUGGCAGCUGAUGGAUUUUGGCAACAAAAUGGAAAAGCAUCAUGCAAGUAGCGCCACAAGGUGUCGUGCGCAUGGGGCGAAGCUUAGUAAGUUGCCAAUUGCAAUCGGUUGUUGCGGGCAACAUCGGGAGGCGAUAUCGCUAGUGGUGGCUGAUGGCUUUUGACAACAAAAUGGCAAAGCAUCGUGCAAGUAGCGCCGCAAGGUGCCGUGCUCACGGGGCGAAGCUUAGUAUGUUGGUGAUUGCCAUCAGUUGUUGCGGGAAACAUCGGAAGGCGACAUUACUCGUGGCGGCUGAUGGCUUUUCGCAAUGGAACGGCAAAGCAUCGUGCAAGUAGCGGCGCAAGGUGCCAUGCGCAUGGGGCGAAGCUUAUUAAAUUUCCUACCGCCAUCGGUUGUUGUGGGUUGUGUCUGGCAUUGUUCAAAACCCCUAUUCGUGCUUUCGGGGCUUGUCUUGGCUUUGCAAUGUUCGCAUCGGCAACAACACAUGGUUGCGCGUCAUGUGUUGGGGAUGGUGUUGGCUUUGUAUCGGCGAGGCAAGUGUACGUGCCACACAUGAGUGGUGUUCGGCUUGUGUGGCUAGGUUGGAUCCCUGCUCGAGCAGCUACAUCCUAGCUUGCAUGCCAUCUCAAUCAUGUCACAAGCGCAAAUUAGGCUUGUUGGACGUCGGUUUUCUCUGUUGCAUACCUAAUUCCAAGGCAUUAUCAAGCAAAAUCGGUCGCCUUUCGACCCUCGCGUUUGACGUGCGGGGUGAACCAAAAGCUGCAGUUGUGUCCCAGGUCGUCCUGGCUUCGCCUUGCGAUGAAUUGGUCCACGACUUAGCAUGUUUGGGCUCUCGGAUUUGGUAAACGCAAUGGGCACGGUAUCACGCUCCGCCCUUUUUCUAAGAGGUUAUGCCACGCGGGCGAUGACUGCGCGAAACGAAGGCGAUGAUUUGGCGCACGCAUGGCACCCUUUUCUAGACAAGUCUAGAUCUUUCCACAAAUGGAAGACUCUAGACCCAUCUUGUAUAUAAGAUGUUUGUAGAGAUUUGUAGAGAUUUGUAGAGUUUUCUAGGAUUUUGAUCUUAGCCAUUAAUUAAAAUAGAUCUUAGCCGUUGGUUAGGGACACUAGCAACUAUAAAUAGGCUAGCAAUUGGCAUUUGCCAUCAUAGAAGAAGAUAGAAGACAUAGAAGAAAACAAUCAAGCAAUCCAACACUCUUGUACAAAGUUCUCUUGUUUAAUACAAUGUUUUCUCACAAGCUUCUCUUCUUAGCUUCUCUUAGCUUUGUUGUGGUGUUAGUUUGGGGAAAGGCUGACUUAGCACAUUGCAGGGGUGAAUUGUGACUAAGGCCGCACGGAAGAUAGCCAGGGAGUUAUCCGGUCCUUGACAGUUGGUAUCAGAGCAACACUACGAAAGGGUUCGUGGCUUACCUUUGGCACAUACAUGACAUGGCUAGCUGUGGUGAGGAGCAAGUUCGCAAGGGUCGCGAGGAGGAGUGCACCAUCCUACCAACACAUAAGGGAGGUAAGUCUCGUGACGUUCUUGCUAGUUUUGAAGCUCGUUUAAUUAAGCUUGAGAUAGCUAUGGCGGACACAAAAGAGAGGUUGGAUCGCAUGGAGCAAACCAUAGAAGAGUACGGCGAGAAGGUUGACACCUCGUUGGAUACUUUCCAAGAGAGGAUUGAUGUUGAUUGGAUGACACGGAGCAAACCUUAGAAGAGUACGGCAAAAAGGUUGACACCUCGUUGAAUACUUUCCAAGAAAGGAUUGAUGCUGCUGGGGCAGAGUUAGCCAACGAGAAUAGCUUGUUUUAAGCCAAAGUGCAUCAAGCCUUGGCAGAUUUGAGGCAGGACAUUGAUGGAGCCAAGUUAAGCUUGGAGGCAUCCAAGGCUGCUGUGGAGGAAACAAAGGCUGACUGGGCUAUGUGCAGAAGUGCUUUCAUGGCAAAAGAGGUUGCCUCGACAUCAACCGUGCAAGCCUGAGACACUGCCCGUGCCUUAGACAUGCCAAAGCCAAAGGAAUACGAUGGAGCUCAGGACGUAUUAGUCAUAGAUAACUACCUUUUGCAUAUGGAGUGCUACUUCGAGGCGCUCAACUUAACAGGAUUAGCCCUGGUACGUACUGCCACCUUACAUUUUACCGACAUGUCUGCACUUUGGUGGCGUAGGAAACGAGCCGACAUUGACAGAGGGCUAGUCGUCAUUGACACUUGGGAAGCCCUAAAGAAAGAGCUCAAGGAGGAGUUCUACCCGGUGCACGUAAGCCGCGAGGGUAGGGCAAAAAUGAGGUACCUCAAGCAGGGCAAUUCUAUCAAGGAGUAUGUUAAGGCAUUCUCCAAUUUAAUGCUGCAAUUGACAACAUGAGCGACGAGGCUAGGGCAAAAUGAGGGACCUCAAGCAGGGCAAUUCUAUCAAGGAGUAUGUCAAGGCAUUCUCCAAUUUAAUGCUGCAAAUCGACAACAUGAGAAAAUGAGGAUCUCUUAUUCAACUUCUUAUCAGGACUUAAACCUUGGGCGGUUCAAGAGUUAAGAUGAUCCAAGGCAGACGACAUUUCGACGGCUCUCAAGUUAGCUGCCACAUUGCAAGACUAUACUAGUGCUGACAAAGGGGUUCAUGUCAAGCACCAAGGUGAUUCAUCCAAGUCCAAGACUCAAAGGACUUGGCCGGUUAAAUGUAGGGGAGCCAAGGACGGAACCCACAAGCCAAAAACCCAUGGAGAUAAGGGGAAACAGGCCAGAGACAACAAGAAAGAGGCCAAACCAAGGGAGGGUUGCUUCCUAUGUCAAGGGCCACACUGGGCUAGGGACUGCCCACAGCGUAAAGCCAUGAGCGCAAUGUUGGAGCAAAAGGAGCAUGGCAAUGAAGCUACAAUGGGGUGUCUUAAGCUGCUUAGCGCAUUGAACGUUAAGACUCAUCACCAGGCGGGCGACAGGAGUCUCAUGUACGUGCAGGGGCACGUCAACAACAAGGUUUCCCACUUAAUGAUUGAUACGGGCGCCACUCACAAUUUCAUGACUCCAACCGAGGCGGAACGGUUGGGACUCAACAACAAGGUUUCCCACUUAAUGAUUGAUACGGGCGCCACUCACAACUUCCUGACUCCAACCGAGGCGGAACGGUUGGGAAUCAAGGUGACAAGCUCCAAGGGUUGGCUCAAGACUGUAAAUGCCGAUGCCAAAUCCGUGGAUGGCGUGGUGAAAGGGACCGAGAUGAAGCUACGCAACUAGUCAGGUAAGGUGGAUUUCUCGGUGGCAACAAUAGACGAUUCUCCAUUGUUCUAGGGAUGGAGUUCCUUUGGCAGUUCAAGGCUGUCCCGUUCCCUAGAUUCAACAUGUUAAUGAUCUUGGAAUGGGAACCAUGCAUGGUCCCUACUGUUGCACCUCCCAAGACAUCCAAAUCUCCUCAACUUAGUGCCAUGCAGCUGCCGAAGGGACUCAAACGUGGGGAGGAGACAUGGUUAGUCGUUCUUCAGCAAGAGGAAGAAGGGGGAGUUUAUGGUGAUAUCCCCGCUUGCAUCAAGAACAUGCUGGAAGAGUUCAAGGACGUGAUGCCACCCGAGUUGCCCCAUAAGCUGCCGCCCAGGCGUGGGGUGGAUCACAAGAUCGAGUUGGAACCAGGGGCUAAGCCACCAGCCAAAGCACCCAACCGGAUGGCGCCACCAGAACUGGAGGAGCUGCGAAAACAGUUGGGGGAAUUGUUGGAGAUGGGCUUCAUCCAACCUUCCAAGGCACCGUAUGGUUCACCGGUGCUAUUCCAACGCAAGGCGGACGGAUCGCAGUGAUUUUGCAUAGACUAUCGGGCUCUCAAUCAUCCAACCUGCCAAAGAACCGUAUGGUUCACCAGUGCUAUUCCAACGCAAGACGGACGGAUCGUAGCGACUUUGCAUAGACUACCGGUCUAAAUAAGGUAACAAUAAAAAAAGUAUCCAAUUCCUCUUAUUUCUGACCUUUUUGAUCAAAUAGGGAAGGCCAAUUAUUACAUAAAGCUUGACCUAAGAUCGGGGUACUAUCAAGUGCGCAUAGCCGAAGGGGACGAGAGCAAGACAACUUGUGUCACUCGAUAUGGGGCAUUUGAAUUCUUGGUGAUGCCCUUUGGCCUGACAAAUGCGCCAGCCACAUUUUGCACUCUCAUGAACGAAAUCCUGCAUCCCUACUUGGACCGGUUUGUGGUGGUCUACUUCGACGACAUAGUCAUAUAUAGCAACACCAUGGAGGAGCAUGUAGAACAUGUACGGACUAUUCUCAAGACCUUGCGGGAUCUCUCAUGAAUGAAAUCCUUCAUCCCUACUUGGACCGGUUCGUGGUGGUCUACUUUGACGAUAUAGUCAUAUAUAGCAACACCUUGGAGGAGCAUGUGUAACAUGUACGGACCGUUCUCAAGACUUUGCGGGACAAUGAGCUUUAUGUAAAGAAGGAGAAGUGCUCAUUUGCCAAGGAAGAAGUGCACUUCCUAGGCCAUGUGAUCAAAGGCGGCAAACUCAUGAUUAGGGGUGUGCAUUCGAUUUAUCGAUUCGAUUUUGACCCUUAUCGAUAAUUACUUAUCGAUUAUCGAUUUGUACAUAUGCCUAUCGUUAUCGUUUAAAGAAGAUCCGGGCGAUCGAGGAAUGGGAGCCACCGACCGAGGUACCAAAGCUUUGAUCUUUCCUUGGUCUUGUGAAUUAUUAUCGGCAUUUCAUUACAGACUAUUCAGCCAAGGCGGCACCACUCAUUGACCUACUCAAGAAGAAGAAGGCUUGGGAAUGGGACGACAAGUGCCAACGUGCCUUUGACAUGCUGAAGAAGGCUGUGACUGAGGAACCGGUACUGGCACUACCUGACGGCGCCAAGGCUUAUGAGGUGCACACAGAUGCGUCUGACUUUUCCAUAGGGGGUGUGCUUAUGCAAGAGGGGCAUCCGAUUUCUUAUGAAAGUCGCAAGUUCAACAACAGCGAGAGGCGCAAUACAGUACAGGAGAAGGAGAUGACUGCAGUGGUGCAUUGCUUGCGAGUUUGGCGACACUACUUGCUCGGGGCAAAGUUCGUGGUGCGCACGGACAAUGUGGCGACAAGUUACUUCCAAACACAGAAGAAACUCAGCCCUAAGUAAGCAAGAUGGCAAGACUUCCUGGCCGAGUUCGACUAUAUGAUGGAGCACAGACCGGGCAAGGCCAACUUUGUGGCGGAUGCACUAAGCCGCAGGGAACAAUGCAGCGACAAGCUACUUCCAAACACGGAAGAAACUCAGCCCUAAGCAAGCAAGAUGGCAAGACUUUUUGGCCGAGUUCGACUAUGUGAUGGAGCACAAACCGGGCAAGGCAAACUUUGUGGCGGAUCCGCUAAGCUGAAAGGCAAAAUUGUCGGCAAGGUCAAGAGUUCAGGUGGAGCUCUUGGAUUUUAUCAAGGCAGGCUUGCCGCAUGAUCCUUUAGCCAAGCAACUUGUGCAGAUGGCUAAAGAUGGGAAAACCAAACAAUUUUGGGUAGAAAGCGACUUGUUGGGCACCAAGGGGCAACGGAUAUAUGUACCCAAAUAAGAGAGGUUGCGCAAAAGUAUCAUUAAAUAGUGCCAUGAUACCGGAUGGGCGGGUCAUCCAGGACAAAAGCGCACUCAGGCAUUGGUAGAGGCUAAAAACUAUUGGCCUUGCAUGCGGGACGACAUCGAGUUAUACGUCAAGACUUGUCUUGUGUGCCAACAGGACAAGGCUUGCAACUGGACAGCAACCCUUGACACCGCAUGGACUUGUCAACAAGUAUACUGGGAAGUGUCCAGCGGCGUUCAAGGCAGCAAAAACUUGGCACGAGCAAACGGACUUAGCUCGGGCAUAUCUUGACAAGGCCUCCAAGAAAAUGAAGAAGUGGGCUGCCAAGAAGAGGAGGCACUUGGAAUUCAACGUGGGAGACUUGGUCAUGCUUAAACUCAACGCCGAGCAACAAAAGAGGCUAUGCAGGUUGUACAAGGGACUAGUUCGGCGCUACAACGUGGGAGAUUUAAUCAUGCUUAAACUCAACGCCGAGCAACAAAAGAGGCCACGUAGGUUGCACAAGGGGCUAAUUCGGCGCUAUGAGGGACCACUCCCCAUCCUUGCCAAGGUGGGAAAGGCUUCUUAUCGGGUGAAGCUGCCACUAAACUCAAGUUACAUCCUGUCUUCCAUGUGAGUUGUCUUAAGCCAUACCACGCAGACAUGGAAGACCCAUCAUGGAAUGAGUCACAUCGGGCACCACCAGCCAUUACCACAUCGUUUCACAAGGAAGUUGAAAGCAUCAUGGCUGACCAGGUGAUUCGGUGACGGUUCAGGAACAUUUGCAUGAGUACCUUAUUAAGUUGAAGGGGCUACCGGAAAGCGAGGCAAGUAUGGAGCCAAAGAAAGCUCUUUGGUAGUUUGAAAAUCAAAUACGGGCAUUCCACGAAGAGUCGAUGAGGGCGUCGACGCAAUAGGUGGGGCAUGUUGUCACGCUCCAUCCUUUUUCUAAGAGGUUAUGCCACGCGGGUGAUGACUAGACGACACGAAGGCGAUGAUUGGCACACGCAUGGCACCCUUUUCUAGACAAGUCUAGAUAUUUCAACAAAUGGAAGACUCUAGACCCAUCUUGUAUAUAAGAUGUUUUUAGAGAUUUGUAAAGUUUUCUAGGCUUUUGAUCUUAGCCAUUGAUUCAAAUAGAUAUUAGCCAUUGGUUAGGGACUCUAGCAACUAUAAAAAGGCUAGCAUUUGGCAUUUUCCAUCAUAGAAGAAGAUAGAAGACAUAGAAGAAAACAAUCAAGCAAUCCAACACUCUUGUACAAAGUUCUCUUGUUUAAUACAAAGUUUUCUCACAAGCUUCUCUUCUUAGCUUCUCUUAGCUUUGUUGUGGUAUUAAUUCGGGGAAAGGCUGACUUAGCACAUCGCAGGGGAGAAUUGUGACAAAGGCCGCACGGAAGACAGCUAGGGAGUUAUCAGGUCUGUGACAACGGGGCCUUUAUUGGCUCCUAUCUAUCCAAAGAAUGCUCCUUACGAAUGACGGUCUUGCUCGCCUUGGACUUGGCCGUGCCCUUUUGGGUCGGCCACGCUCAUGCGACGCCGGCGUCAAUGGGGAAUGCUACCUGGUUGAUCCUGCCAGUAGUCAUAUGCUUGUCUCAAAGAUUAAGCCAUGCAUGUGUAAGUAUGAACAAAUUCAGACUGGGGAAUGCUACCUGGUUGAUCCUGCAAGUAGUCAUAUGCUUGUCUCAAAGAUUAAGCCAUACAUGUGUAAGUAUUAACAAAUUAAGACUGUGAAACUGCGAAUGGCUCAUUAAAUCAGUUAUAGUCUGUUUGAUGGUAUCUACUACCCGGAUAACCGUAGUAAAUAUACAGCUAAUACGUACAACAAACCCCAGCUUCUGGAAGGGAUGCAUCUAUUAGAUAAAAGGUCAACACGGGCUCUGCCCGUUUCUGCGAUGAUUCAUGAUAACUCGACGGAUCGCACGGCCAUCAUACCAGCGACGCAUCAAUCAAAUUUCUACCCUAUAAACUUGGGCGUGAUGGCCUUGUCAUUAGCCUAUGUGCGAGCAAAACGAUCAUGCGGGUCGACAAGCUGUGGUGGAAAAUUGUUGGCCAAGGCCUUGGCAUGGUCAAGGUGCGCUUGGAAAAGGCUUGAAGAGGCAGCAUCAGCAAUGGUUGGGCGGCAUAGCACGGCAUGCGCGCCAAACUCAAUGGCAUGACACUCUUGGGUUGUGGCAGCUAUGUGCGGGCUAAGCUAAGGCGAUGCGAAAAUGCGGGUUGACGGCAAAGGCUUUCAAUAGCUAAGACUAGGCUAUGGGAAAAAGAAUACAAGCAAUGGCAUGAGGGAAAUUAGGUUGGCACGGACAAGGCAAAAAACUAGGCCAAGGCAGUGUGCGGGUGUAUGGGCGCCGGGCGUGUGCGGAAACAUCAUGGCAGCGGAUUGCCGGCAAGACAUUGGCAUGGGCAAUGUCUAAUUAAUCCAAGGAAUGGCACGGGCAGCCUUGGGGGCGAAAUUAAGCUGGCCUAGGAAAUGGCACAUGCAAAGCACAUGGAAAGCGGUUGGCAGCGGUUACCUUGUUUGUAGGCCAUGAUCUCCCAUGAUCUCCCAUUAUCCCAUGAACUGAUUAUUGUUUGUACUGUGGCCCCAUUUCGUGCAUAAUGAUCCUAAGUAGUUUGGGAUGUCAACUACAAGUUAGGAGCAUGAUGUAAAGAUGUUAGACAACAAGUGUCAUGAGCGGUUAAUUUUAAAGGCCUAUAAAUAGGACCUUUAACUUAGGCAGAAAUACGUAUAAUGAUCCUAAGUAGUUGGGGAUGCCAACUACAAGUUAGGAGCAUGAUUUAAGCUUAGUCCGACAAGUGGCAAAAGCUGUUUGACAAUAAGUGUCAUGGGCGGUUAAGUUUAAGGGCCUAUAAAUAGGACCCCUAACUUAAGCAAAACAACGAAGUAAGUUCAAGGGAAUUACUUGUGGGAAAAUAGAGUAAGUUCAAGGGAAUUACUUCGUGGGAAACAAUAGAGAAACGUGAGGUUUUUCUAGUGUUUCCAAAAGGGGGCUAAGGUUGUGCAUGGGCAGAUCUUAGUGUUUGCCAAGAACGACCAGGUGUUCUUCGUCAAAAGUGGGCUGUGAGCGGACGGAUAGUUCAUAGCAAUUGAGGGUCCUUCGUAUAUUUUCUAUAUUAAUGCAAAGGUUGAGAAUUUGUCAUGUAUAUGUUUUUGUUCCUUUAAAAUUCUAAUUUGUUGCCUAAAUUUCGUCUAAGGUCAAACUUGCUUAAAAUUGCAAGUGUUUCGGAAGGCUGAGUCAAGCACGGGACUUGACUGCCGCACGUGUGUGGUUUUGGACUAGGUCAAAAACGCCCCCGUGACACCUACCAUGGUGGUGACGGGUGACGGAGAAUUAGGGUUCGAUUCCGGAGAUGGAGCCUCAGAAAUGGCUACCAGCUCCAAGGAACGCAGCAGGCAUGCAAAUUACCCAAUCCUGACAUGGGGAGGUAGUGACAAUAAAUAACAAUACCGGGCUUUAUGAGUCUGGUAAUUGGAAUGAGUACAAUCUAAAUCCCUUAACGAGGACCCAAUCCUGACAUGGGGAGGUAGUGACAAUAAAUAACAAUACCGGGCUUUAUGAGUCUAGUAAUUAGAAUGAGUACAAUCUAAAUCCCUUAAUGAGGAUCGAUCAGAGAGCAAGUCUGGUGCCAGAAGCCGCGGUAAUUCCAGCUCCAAUAGGGUAUAUUUAAGUUGUUGCAGUUAAAAAGCUCGUUAUUGGACUUUAGGAUGGGCCGGCCGUCCGCCUUAGGUGUGCACCGGUCGUCUCGUCCCUUUUGCCGGUGAUGCCCUCUUGGCCUUAAUUGGCCGGGUCGUGCCACCGGCGCUGUUACUUUGAAGAAAUUAGAGUGCUCAAAGCAAGCCUACGCUCUGUAUACAUUAGCAUGGGAUAACAUUAUAGGAUUUCGGUCCUAUUACGUGGUCGUGCCACCGGCGCUGUUACUUUGAAGAAAUUAGAGUGCUCAAAGCAAGCCUACGCUCUGCAUACAUUAGCAUGGGAUAACAUUAUAGGAUUACGGUCCUAUU
rnacentral:lncRNA from 1 species